rnacentral:rRNA from 1 species
AUUGAACGCUGGCGGCAGGCUUAACACAUGCAAGUCGAGCGAGCGGCGGACGGGUGAGUCGUGUCUGGGAAACUGCCUGAUGGAGGGGGAUAACUACUGCAAACGGUAGCUAAUACCGCAUGCCAUCAUAUGUGCCCCGAUGGGAUUAGCUAGUCGGUGGGGUAAUGGCUCACCUAGGCGACGAUCCCUAGCUGGUCUGAGAGGAUGACCAUCCACUGUGGAACUGAGACACGGUCCAUGCUCCUACGGUCGGCAGCAGUGGGGAUUAUUGCACAAUGGGCGCAAGCCUGAUGCAGCCAUGCCGAGUGUGUGAAGAAGGCCGUCGGGUUGUAAAGCACUUUCAGCGAGGAGGCGUUACUCGCAGAAGAAGCACCGGCGAACUCCGUGCCAGCAGCCGCGGUAAUUC